UCCAUCUUUUGCACACUGUUCAGGGCAGAUCAUACCGCCGCAGGAAGCCUCGUUGGGAAUAUCCUUACCAGGAUACACCACGAGCCUCGUCAGAGAAGUUGUCCCAGUUUCUUUAAUACCUUUCCUAAUGUAACGCGAAGAAAAUUGAUGAAAACUGUUUACGAAGCAAAUCAGCUAUUUAUUACAUAAAUUGGCAAUCUUAGCAUGGAAGACAAGAAACAAGUGCUUGUAGUAUCUUUGCAAGGAGAAAGCGAUCCCGAUUACAAUGGGUUUCAAAAAUAUCUUUCGGAUAUCUACAUCCAAAUGGACACUCUAACUAAGGGUAGAGAUUAUCUAUUCAUUCUUCAUGACAAGUCUGGCCGACGAUAUUUAGAUCACCAUGUUUUCAAGAACGCUCAUCUCAUUGAAGUGGAUCCAUUCGUAGACAUGUGGGUGAGAGAUUUUCCACCAACGGUCCCAGAACGUCAAGUCAAAUUUAUAUACCAACCAGGGUAUCUUAAACCAUCUCAAGCAAAGAGAGACGAGGACUCUUUUGAUGCGUUUGGAAAGCAGGUUGAUUUGCCGCCAUUGGAUCACUGCAACAUCAUCCU